rnacentral:misc_RNA from 1 species
AUGACACUCGUUGUAUUAUAGCCAACAAUGAUAUGUGGAAAUCAGAAAUAUAACUAAUGUGUGACAAAAUGGUUAUCUAAAGUUAGAUCAGGCAAUAUUGGAUAAUAGGCUAUACAGAGCUGACUGAUGUGAUGAGUAAAAUCGAUUAUUUCAAAUUACUGUAAAGGCUGCGUCGACCUUUAUAGUGUUUGAAAUAAUCCACCCUGUCUACGACUAAAACUUUUUACACGUUUUAAUCGUAGACAGGGUGGAUUUGGGUGUGCUAGCUUUUUGAAAAUGGACUGGAUCAAAAUGAACUACUCAAGGUUUCUAAAUGUGACUAGUCUGGGUAGGAAACCAUCACCAAUCAGAGUACUGACUGAAAUAGUGCUGAACUCACCAAAAACAUUGAUUUCCAUGGCUGGAGGGAUGCCAAAUCCUGAUUUCUUCCCGAUACAAGAUAUUUCACUAACUCUCAAAGAUGGAUCUAAGCUGAACAUAGACACUUCCUUGGUAACCAGAGCAAUGCAGUAUUCCUCCUCAUCGGGAUUUCCUGAACUUAUCAACUGGGUAAAGGAUCUCCAGGAAAGAGUUCACAAACCACCAACUCUGGGAAUCACAGACGAGAACAAAAAGCUGGACAUCAUCAUUACAAACGGAAGUCAAGAUGGAAUCUGUAAAACACUGGAAGCCUGCGUGUCAGCUGGUGACAAUGUUCUGAUCGAGGUUCCUACAUACGCAGGCACCCUCGCCAUCCUGAAUCCCCUUCAGCCGAAGAUUCUUGAAAUUGAGUCUGAUAAAGAUGGAAUCAUUCCUGGAAGUCUUCUCAGAUAUUUGUCAAAGUGGAAACCUGAGGAUUCCAAGAAACCAAACUGCAGCAUUCCAAGAAUAUUGUACUGUGUACCGAAUGGUGGAAACCCCACAGGAAGUCAGUUGACGUGGGAACGGAAGAAAGAGAUUUACAAACUUUGUCAGGACUAUGAUAUACUCAUUAUGGAGGAUGACCCGUACUUCUAUCUUCAAUUCAGCAAGCCCUAUGUCCCCAGUUUCCUGUCGAUGGAUGAAGAUGGAAGAGUAAUGAGAUUUGAUUCAUUUUCAAAAAUAAUAUCAUCAGGGAUGCGAAUUGGGUGUCUGAGUGGACCGAGGGCUUUGGUGAACAAAAUCAUCCAGCAUCAACAGGUGUCUGCAGUUCACUCCAGUGGGCUUUCUCAGGUGGUGCUGUUUUCCGUUCUCCAGGAAAUGGGUCAUGAUGGAUUUCUACAGCACUGUGACAAAGUGGCAGACUUCUAUAAGAGGCAGCGUGAUGCUUGUCUAGCCAUGGCUAACAAACAUUUGUCAGCAGCUGUGGAAUGAGAGAUAGCCCAAUGGGUAGCAUCCUCAGGAGAAUAAACAAACAAAUUGGUGAGAUGGAGGACAGGUCUGGCCGAGUGGUUUGAACCUUCUGGUGGGAUGUUUUUGUGGUUAAAGUUUCCACAGAUCAAGGACACAUUUAAGCUAAUAUCGGAGAAAGCUAGAGCAAAAGAGGUGCUGUUUGUUCCCGGUAACGCAUU